GAACGCACCUUGCACCCUUUGGCAUUCCGAAGGGUAUGCUCGUUUGAGUGUCAUUGUACUCUCACACUCCCGGUCUUUGGAUUGGGAGCGGUGGACUUGGGUGUUGCUGCUUGACCGUGGCUCACCUCAAAUGGAUUCGUGCACCUCCUGGUUGGACAUAGUACGGCGUGAUAAGUGUCUUCGCCGGCACCUCAGUAGAGGGUGGCCGAUCGGGAGCUCUGUGCUUCAAACCGUCUUCGGACAACAAUUGACAACUUGACCUCAAAUCGAGUAGGACUACCCGCUGAACUUA
rnacentral:misc_RNA from 1 species